CUCGGAGAGCUGCUGCACCACCUCCUCGUUAUUGGUCUCGCGGCGCUCGCUCAGAACUGCCACAGCUCCGUCAGCGAAUGCUGCCGUCCAGUGAUGCAACGGAGGCAGCAGUCCUUUGCACUGCCCACAGACAGACUGUCUGCAAAGCACGUGCAAAGAGCUGCAGGGAACAAAGCCUGGCCACGAGCGUGCUAACUUGGAGAGCAACGCUGUGGAGAUUGCUGAGUUUCCCAGGGCAGCACCAAGCAUUUUUUCCUUAAUGACAAGUAUGUAAUGAGCAAAGUUCAGCAAAAGGACGGCGUUUUCUGAAAAAAUGACAGGCUGUUGGUCCAGAGCAGCAUCUCUGCAGCUUAGGACCACCAGGCUGCCAUCCCGGCACUGUUCUGCUUGCAGACAGCGCUCCAUGUUCUCCUGAUGUGGCACUCAGAGGGCGUCCCUCUGCCGUGCAGCCCUCCCCAGUGCCUGCCUGCCUGUCACUGUUGCGGCUGGGAUGGAGCUGUUUCCUUUGCAGUGCCUGCUAUGGCGCUGUGUCCUGGUUCUGUCAGCGCUCCGUGCCGUCCUGCAGGCUGUUGUGCAGAGCGCAGUGCUGCGGAGCUGUGCUUCCCGGCCCUGUGCUCUCCAGCACUCUCACGGGAGUUCCAAAGCUCCCAGAAAUCUCCUGUUCCUAGAAUCCUCCGCUGCUCCCUUGCACGCGCAUCUGUGUGCAGGGAUGUGUGCAGAACCAUACACCCACGUGCAAAGAUUUCCCUGCACACACACCUGUGCAUUCACACACACGUGCAAGUGCAUCCUUGCACAGCC
ensembl:lncRNA